CGAUUACGGCUCAGUAACACGUAGUGAAUCUACCCCUUACUCGGGGAUAACUUGGAGAAAUCCUUGAUAAUACCCGAUGUGGAGGAAACUCCAAAGAUUUAUCGGUAAGGGACGAGCCUGCGGCCUAUCAGGUAGUUGGUGAGGUAAAUGCUCACCAAGCCUAUGACGGGUAGCUGAUCUGAGAGGAUGACCAGCCAGAAGGGCACUGAAACACGGGCCUUACUCCUACGGGAGGCAGCAGUGAGGAAUAUUGCGCAAUGGACGAAAGUCUGACGCAGCGACGUCGCGUGGAGGAUGACUGUCUUCGGAUUGUAAACUCCUGAAAAUAGCACCGGCAAACUACGUGCCAGCAGCAGCGGUCAUACGUAGGGUGCAAGCGUUACCCGGAUUUAUUGGGCGUAAAGCGUUCGUAGGCGGUAUUGUAAGUCAGUAGUCAAAUCUCCAGGCUCAACCUGGAACAGGCUAUUGAUACUGCAUUACUAGAGUUAGUUAGGGGGUAGUGGAACUUAUGGUGUAGCGGUGAAAUGCGUUGAUAUCAUAAGG
rnacentral:rRNA from 1 species